AUUCUGAAGACAAAUCCUUCCCAGGGAUUUGGGGCAUGCUGGAACAGGUCCUUCUGUGUCAUUGUGGCAGUAAAACAUCAUGGGUUUGCUGGAAGAACCGUCACUAUCAUCAACCACCUCAUCUCUCCCAGCCUUGAGAGCCAAGAGCUUCUCCAACCACAAAACCUGCCAAGAUGACCCAAGACAUCUUCUUUCCCAACCAGACAUAUGAAGGAAGGUGGUUUUGCCCAUCAUCGCCUGCCCCAGGCCCUGGUGGGAUCCCAGCUUCCAACAACCACACAUCAGGCUCAGCAGGUCUCCAUGGAGGCUUCUUCAGUUGUUUAACUACUGUGUCCAUGGAUGGACUAAGAGGCAAGAUCUGCACUGGGCUGCACUGGAAGUAUUCCCUACGUUCCCAGUCCCAGCAAAUAUUACCUGACUUUAAAGCAAGUGCCAUAGGAUGUGAGGAGGAUUUGAGACAGCGCUCGGCCUCACCUUAGGCAGCUGAGGACAUCUACUUACUGGCGCUGGCUGCUGGCACGGGCCACAGCUUCCUCCACCCACACACCUUGGUUUUCUUUGGCCUCACUGUGAGAAAUUCAUUUCAUGUUCUAAAUGCAAAUCCUCUAAAGGGUUUUCAGGAUGCUAAAUAGGACUUCAGAAAGAACAACAAAAAGAAGCAAGUUUUUUGGAUUGGCGUUUGUUGGUUGGUUUUUUUUUUGCUUUGAUUUGAAAAAUAACUGACCUUGAAACAGCUAGUUUUUUUUCCC